rnacentral:rRNA from 1 species
GACGAACGCUGGCGGCGUGCUUAACACAUGCAAGUCGAACGGAAACGUCCGGCUUUGGUGCGGUGCUGUGGGUGCGAACGGGUGAGUAACACGUGAGUAACCUGCCCUUGACUUUGGGAUAACUUCAUGAAACUGGGUCUAAUACCGGAUAGGAUCUACUGCUGCAUGGUGGGGGUUGGUAAGUUUCGGCGGUUGGGGAUGGAAUCGCGGCUUAUCAGCUUGUUGGUGGGGUAGUGGCUUACCAAGGCUUUGACGGGUAGCCGGCCUGAGAGGGUGACCGGCCAAACUGCGACUGAGAUGCGGCCCAGACCACUCCGGUACGCAGAAGUGGAGAAUAGUGCACAAUGGGCGGAAGCCUGGUGUAGCAACGCCGCGUGCGGGAUGACGGCAUUCGGUUAGUAACCCACUUCCGCCUGUGACGAAGCGUGAGUGACGGUACUGAGUAAAGAAGCACCGGCUAACUACGUG